UCCUCGGGCCCGGACUCCGCGGGCGCAGCUGUCCCGACGCUGAGCUGGGGACCCGUGGGGUUCUCGGAGAGGGGCAGAGACCCAAGGGCUGCUGGUGGGGUGAGGCCAUCCCACGCAACUCUGGGGUCUGUGAAGCCACCAAGGAUCGAGGAAUGGAAGAGCUGCCUGAGUGUAGAGGGAGUUCGGUCAGGCUUCUUAAACUUGGAGACUUGGAAACAGAAGGCCUUGUAGGCCACAUAGGUUUUCAGAGACUCGCCUGGCAGAGGCCUGGAGCGUCCUGCUGCGUGGACUGUGAGCACCGAGCCACCAGGAGGUUGUUGAUCUCAUUCUUGCUCACUGGUCCCUGCCAGACUGGUGGUGCCUCUCUACUGUCCGGCAGCCCCACCUGUGUGCUGCCCCAUCCACCUACAGCCCUCAUGCCUGGGCCCAGCUGGAGGUUCUGACAGGGGCCCCCUGGGGUGGCAUGCGGACCCUUCAGGGUGCCCCAGGUGCAGCACAGGUCUCCAGAGACACAGGCACCAGGGCGUUCAGAGCUAGUCCCCUCGCUGCUGUUGACUGUCCUUGAGCAGCUCCAGGGCCAGUUUCUCAACCUCAUUUGCUCACCUGAGCAAUGAAGUGAAGUGGGCUCCUGGAACUGCAGCAGCCACCCCCCGGGGCCAUCGUGAGGCUAAGAAUCCAAUGCAGGGUGAGCAACCAGCGACCGCUACAAGGACAGUGAAGAGCUAGCACCAGGACCUUGGGUAGCCCACCCCCUGGAAGGAGCGUGUGCUGCAAAAAGCAAGAGUGGGCUUUGGAGGCCAACGG
rnacentral:sRNA from 1 species